UACGUAGGGUGCAAGCGUUGUCCGGAAUUAUUGGGCGUAAAGAGCUCGUAGGCGGUUUGUCGCGUCGGCUGUGAAAACCUGGAGCUCAACUCCAGGCCUGCAGUCGAUACGGGCAGACUUGAGUGUUGCAGGGGAGACUGGAAUUCCUGGUGUAGCGGUGAAAUGCGCAGAUAUCAGGAGGAACACCGGUGGCGAAGGCGGGUCUCUGGGCAACAACUGACGCUGAGGAGCGAAAGCGUGGGGAGCGAACAGGA
rnacentral:rRNA from 1 species